rfam:Astyanax mexicanus chromosome 13, whole genome shotgun sequence.
GUAUUUCACUAUUGUAAGUCGCUUUGGACAAAAGCGUCUGCCAAAUGCAAUGUA